rnacentral:tRNA from 1 species
GGGUAUUUCGCUGAAUUAUCUCUGUGGGCAGACUGUAAAUCUGUCGGCUUUAGCCUUCGAAGGUUCGAAUCCUUCCCUCCCCA